UACGAAGGGUGCAAGCGUUACUCGGAAUCACUGGGCGUAAAGCGUGCGUAGGCGGUUUCUUAAGUCUGUCGUGAAAGCCCUGGGCUCAACCUGGGAACGGCGAUGGAUACUGGGAAGCUAGAAUGUGAGAGAGGAUGGUGGAAUUCCUGGUGUAGCGGUGAAAUGCGCAGAUAUCAGGAAGAACACCCGUGGCGAAGGCGGCUCUCUGGAACGCAACUGACGCUGAGACGCGAAAGCGUGGGGAGCAAACAGG
rnacentral:rRNA from 1 species